AAAGGCAGGAAAGGACAGGGCCAACGCGGUGGCCCACCUCCUGGGCCGCAGCCCUGGCCCUUGUUGUGUCCCAGGACCUGCGCGUCCCUCUCCCCUGUCCUCCCUCCCGGAGGCACUCCUAGUUCGCCCGACCAUGGCCAUUCCGCUCUGGCCUCGUGCUCCUCUCCGGGGUUUAAUCCCAGCACCUCGAUCCUUGAUCUGCGUUUGGCGCAGAGGCCGGCAGGGCAGCGCUGGGGACUGGGUUCCAAAGUCAGGAAACAGCUUGGAGCGGCCGUCCCUGAGGACAGUGGAGCUGUGAGCUGGAGGGGUGAUGUGCCCCUGAAGACUUCAUGUGCCAAGCCUCCACAGCCUGGGCCAGCUCUGCCCUCAUCUCCCAUGGCCUAGCCUUGCCAGGCCUCCUGGUAGAGUUGGCAAAUACUUUUUGCUCUUCUGCCAUGGCUAACAGGCGUCUCAGUGGAAGUGAGAAAUGAAAAUUAGGGCAGAGGGAGGAUAAACACUUCUGUGGUGAGCAAAAUGCCUUCUCCCAAGCCUGACCUGAAGAUGCCAGAGGUUCCAGGGGAGAAGCACCAGGCUCAACUUUCCAGGCUCCAGAAGAUGCAACUGUGCCCAGCGCUCACUCCUCGAGGAGUGGCUCCCUGCAGGGUCACGACUGCCCAAGGCAAGCGCCCCCCACACCUGCCCCCCACCUUCCUAGGGGGGUGUAGCUCAGUCUCAGGCUCCUUCCUCUCAGAGCUGCUUUCUCACCAAGACUGACCCUGACCCUUCUCCAUCCUCCUCAAGAGCAAAUCCUUCUGACCGUUUCUCCUGUUCAUUUUCAGAAGCAGAGAAGCCUGACCCCAGACAGCCCAGUCCUUCUUUAAAGUGUUCUAAUUUUUCCUACUGGAUCCAAACCUCUGUUCCUGGUAACAUCCACUUGCUGAGAGAUUACCGAUCAGAUCUUUCUCCUGCAGUGCUCUCCUCCCGUGGAACUCCUCUCUUUCCUUGUGGCUGGCUGACUUCCAGUUGUCUUGUUUCUCCUUGAAUGCAAUAGUUUCAGCUGGGUGUGCAGCUAUCCAGGUAAGAACUACACACCCUCUCUGCUGGGCGGGGCAUGUGACUCAGGUCAGGCCAGAGUGACAAGGACAGAAGCCAUGACAGCUUCCUGGUUAUGUCCUUAAAAUGACUUCAUUUUACAGUGUCAGAGCUACCAAACUUGGAUCUUGACUGUGGAGAUAAAAAAAACUGCUGUAGGACAGCUCUGUGUUCCCGGCCGUCUUUGCCUUAACAGAGCGGCCUGUAUCUCAUCUCCAUCUGUGAAAACCCUCAUCAUUCUGCACAGGUUCACCCAAGGAGUCCUCAAAGCACUGAUCUAACUCAUGAUCUGCCUCAUAUUCUGUGCUGCUGCACUUGGCUGUGCCUAUAUUGUUGGCUUUUUGCAGCUCAAAGAAGGAGAAGAGCCAAAUCUUGAUUGCUACUUGACAUUAUACAAUGCCUACUAACUGUCCUGUUUGUGGUUGGUCUCAAUAAAUGAGCCGAGAAUAGGUAA